AGUUGGAAUUGCUAGUAAUCGCGGAUCAGCAUGCCGCGGUGAAUACGUUCCCGGGUCUUGUACACACCGCCCGUCACACCAUGGGAGCUGGUAACACCCGAAGUCAGUAGUCUAACCGCAAGGAGGACGCUGCCGAAGGUGGGAUUAGCGACUGGGGUGAAGUCGUAACAAGGUAAC
rnacentral:rRNA from 1 species